rnacentral:rRNA from 2 species
AGCGUACACGGUGGAUGCCCUGGCAGUCAGAGGCGAUGAAGGACGUGCUAAUCUGCGAAAAGCGUCGGUAAGGUGAUAUGAACCGUUAUAACCGGCGAUGUCCGAAUGGGGAAACCCAGUGCAAUUCGUUGCACUAUCGUUAACUGAAUACAUAGGUUAACGAGGCGAACCGGGGGAACUGAAACAUCUAAGUACCCCGAGGAAAAGAAAUCAACCGAGAUUCCCCCAGUAGCGGCGAGCGAACGGGGAGCAGCCCAGAGUCUGAAUCAGCUUGUGUGUUAGUGGAACGGUCUGGAAAGUCCGACGGUACAGGGUGAUAGUCCCGUACACCAAAAUGCACAGGCUGUGAACUCGAAGAGUAGGGCGGGACACGUGGUAUCCUGUCUGAAUAUGGGGGGACCAUCCUCCAAGGCUAAAUACUCCUGACUGACCGAUAGUGAACCAGUACCGUGAGGGAAAGGCGAAAAGAACCCCGGCGAGGGGAGUGAAAAAGAACCUGAAACCGUGUACGUACAAGCAGUGGGAGCACCUUCGGGUGUGACUGCGUACCUUUUGUAUAAUGGGUCAGCGACUUAUAUUCUGUAGCAAGGUUAACCGUAUAGGGGAGCCGCAGGGAAACCGAGUCUUAACUGGGCGUUAAGUUGCAGGGUAUAGACCCGAAACCCGGUGAUCUAGCCAUGGGCAGGUUGAAGGUUGGGUAACACUAACUGGAGGACCGAACCGACUAAUGUUGAAAAAUUAGCGGAUGACUUGUGGCUGGGGGUGAAAGGCCAAUCAAACCGGGAGAUAGCUGGUUCUCCCCGAAAGCUAUUUAGGUAGCGCCUCGUGAAUUCAUCUUCGGGGGUAGAGCACUGUUUCGGCUAGGGGGUCAUCCCGACUUACCAACCCGAUGCAAACUACGAAUACCGAAGAAUGUUAUCACGGGAGACACACGGCGGGUGCUAACGUCCGUCGUGAAGAGGGAAACAACCCAGACCGCCAGCUAAGGUCCCAAAGUCAUGGUUAAGUGGGAAACGAUGUGGGAAGGCACAGACAGCCAGGAUGUUGGCUUAGAAGCAGCCAUCAUUUAAAGAAAGCGUAAUAGCUCACUGGUCGAGUCGGCCUGCGCGGAAGAUGUAACGGGGCUAAACCAUGCACCGAAGCUGCGGCAGCGACACUAUGUGUUGUUGGGUAGGGGAGCGUUCUGUAAGCCUGCGAAGGUGACCUGUGAGGGUUGCUGGAGGUAUCAGAAGUGCGAAUGCUGACAUAAGUAACGAUAAAGCGGGUGAAAAGCCCGCUCGCCGGAAGACCAAGGGUUCCUGUCCAACGUUAAUCGGGGCAGGGUGAGUCGACCCCUAAGGCGAGGCCGAAAGGCGUAGUCGAUGGGAAACAGGUUAAUAUUCCUGUACUUGGUGUUACUGCGAAGGGGGGACGGAGAAGGCUAUGUUAGCCGGGCGACGGUUGUCCCGGUUUAAGCAUGUAGGCUGGUUGUCCAGGCAAAUCCGGAUAAUCAAGGCUGAGGUGUGAUGACGAGGCACUACGGUGCUGAAGUAACAAAUGCCCUGCUUCCAGGAAAAGCCUCUAAGCAUCAGGUAACAUCAAAUCGUACCCCAAACCGACACAGGUGGUCAGGUAGAGAAUACCAAGGCGCUUGAGAGAACUCGGGUGAAGGAACUAGGCAAAAUGGUGCCGUAACUUCGGGAGAAGGCACGCUGGUGUGUAGGUGAAGUCCCUGCGGAUGGAGCUGAGACCAGUCGAAGAUACCAGCUGGCUGCAACUGUUUAUUAAAAACACAGCACUGUGCAAACACGAAAGUGGACGUAUACGGUGUGACGCCUGCCCGGUGCCGGAAGGUUAAUUGAUGGGGUUAUCCGUAAGGAGAAGCUCUUGAUCGAAGCCCCGGUAAACGGCGGCCGUAACUAUAACGGUCCUAAGGUAGCGAAAUUCCUUGUCGGGUAAGUUCCGACCUGCACGAAUGGCGUAAUGAUGGCCAGGCUGUCUCCACCCGAGACUCAGUGAAAUUGAACUCGCUGUGAAGAUGCAGUGUACCCGCGGCAAGACGGAAAGACCCCGUGAACCUUUACUAUAGCUUGACACUGAACAUUGAGCCUUGAUGUGUAGGAUAGGUGGGAGGCUUUGAAGCGUGGACGCCAGUCUGCGUGGAGCCAACCUUGAAAUACCACCCUUUAAUGUUUGAUGUUCUAACGUUGGCCCCUGACCGGGGUUGCGGACAGUGUCUGGUGGGUAGUUUGACUGGGGCGGUCUCCUCCCAAAGCGUAACGGAGGAGCACGAAGGUUAGCUAAUCCUGGUCGGACAUCAGGAGGUUAGUGCAAUGGCAUAAGCUAGCUUGACUGCGAGCGUGACGGCGCGAGCAGGUGCGAAAGCAGGUCAUAGUGAUCCGGUGGUUCUGAAUGGAAGGGCCAUCGCUCAACGGAUAAAAGGUACUCCGGGGAUAACAGGCUGAUACCGCCCAAGAGUUCAUAUCGACGGCGGUGUUUGGCACCUCGAUGUCGGCUCAUCACAUCCUGGGGCUGAAGUAGGUCCCAAGGGUAUGGCUGUUCGCCAUUUAAAGUGGUACGCGAGCUGGGUUUAGAACGUCGUGAGACAGUUCGGUCCCUAUCUGCCGUGGGCGCUGGAGAAUUGAGGGGGGCUGCUCCUAGUACGAGAGGACCGGAGUGGACGCAUCACUGGUGUUCGGGUUGUCAUGCCAAUGGCACUGCCCGGUAGCUAAAUGCGGAAGAGAUAAGUGCUGAAAGCAUCUAAGCACGAAACUUGCCCCGAGAUGAGUUCU